UACGUAGGGUGCAAGCGUUAAUCGGAAUUACUGGGCGUAAAGCGUGCGCAGGCGGUUCGGCAAGAAAGGUGUGAAAUCCCAGGGCUUAACCUUGGAAUGGCACUUUUAACUGCCGAGCUAGAGUAUGUCAGAGGGGGGUAGAAUUCCACGUGUAGCAGUGAAAUGCGUAGAGAUGUGGAGGAAUACCGAUGGCGAAGGCAGCCCCCUGGGAUGAUACUGACGCUCAUGCACGAAAGCGUGGGGAGCAAACAGG
rnacentral:rRNA from 1 species